GCACAAGCGGUGGAGCAUGUGGUUCAAUUCGACGCAACGCGAAGAACCUUACCCAGGCUUGAACAGCGAGUGACCACCUACGAAAGUAGGCUUCCGCAAGGACACUCGUAGAGGUGCUGCAUGGCUGUCGUCAGCUCGUGUCGUGAGAUGUUGGGUUAAGUCCCGCAACGAGCGCAACCCUUGUCUGCUGUUGCCAUCAGGUUAUGCUGGGCACUCUGCAGAGACUGCCGGUGAUAAACCGGAGGAAGGUGGGGAUGACGUCAAGUCAGCAUGGCCUUUAUGUCUGGGGCUACACACGUGCUACAAUGGCCGAUACAAACCGUCGCGAUACCGCAAGGUGGAGCUAAUCGGAGAAAGUCGGUCUCAGUUCGGAUAGCAGGCUGCAACUCGCCUGCUUGAAGUUGGAAUCGCUAGUAAUCGCGGAUCAGCACGCCGCGGUGAAUACGUUCCCGGGC
rnacentral:rRNA from 1 species